UACAGAGGGUGCAAACGUUGCUCGGAAUUACUGGGCGUAAAGGGCGCGUAGGCGGCCUUCUAAGUCGAACGUGAAAUCCCCGGGCUCAACCCGGGAACUGCGUCCGAUACUGGGAGGCUUGAAUCCGGGAGAGGGAUGUGGAAUUCCAGGUGUAGCGGUGAAAUGCGUAGAUAUCUGGAGGAAUACCGGUGGCGAAGGCGGCAUCCUGGACCGACAUUGACGCUGAGGAGCGAAAGCUAGGGGAGCAAACGGG
rnacentral:rRNA from 1 species